rnacentral:lncRNA from 1 species
AAUGGGGACAAUGGGAUAAUGGGGACAAUGGGGACAAUGGGGAUAAUGGGGAUAAUGGGACAAUGGGGACAAUGGGAUAAUGGGGACAAUGGGGAUAAUGGGGAUAAUGGGGAUAAUGGGGAUAAUGGGGAUAAUGGGGAUAAUGGGGAUAAUGGGGAUAAUGGGAUAAUGGGGAUAUGGGUCCAUCUAUGGGUCCCUCUAUGGGUCCAUAAUGCUAUGGGUCCAUCUAUGGGUCUCUCUAUGGGUCCAUCUAUGGGUCCAUCUAUGUGUCCAUCUAUGGGUCCAUCUAUAGGUCCCUCUCUGGGUCUCUCUAUGGGUCCACCCAUGUGUCCAUCUAUGGGUCCAUAAUGCUAUGGGUCC